GACGAACGCUGGCGGCGUGCUUAACACAUGCAAGUCGAACGGAAAGGCCCUGCUUUUGUGGGGUGCUCGAGUGGCGAACGGGUGAGUAACGCGUGAGUAACCUGCCCUUGACUUUGGGAUAACUUCAGGAAACUGGGGCUAAUACCGGAUAGGAGCUCCUGCUGCAUGGUGGGGGUUGGAAAGUUUCGGCGGUUGGGGAUGCACUCGCGGCUUAUCAGCUUGUUGGUGGGGUAGUGGCUUACCAAGGCUUUGACGGGUAGCCGGCCUGAGAGGGUGACCGGCCACAUUGGGACUGAGAUACGGCCCAGACUCCUACGGGAGGCAGCAGUGGGGAAUAUUGCACAAUGGGCGGAAGCCUGAUGCAGCAACGCCGCGUGCGGGAUGACGGCCUUCGGGUUGUAAACCGCUUUCGCCUGUGACGAAGCGUGAGUGACGGUAAUGGGUAAAGAAGCACCGGCUAACUACGUG
rnacentral:rRNA from 1 species